rnacentral:misc_RNA from 1 species
GCACUGUAACUGCAGUUCUGAAGACAACUCAUAUCUUAGAAGAAGUCUACAAAGAACAUACAGGAAAUACAGCCUUUCUGUUAACCACCAAAAUUUGCAUUUACAAACGCCUAACCGAAGCUAAACUCUCUAGCUCUCCUCUUUACCGCCUUUUUUACCUUUCUUUUGCUUCUGCUUCAAUUGCGUGAGGCCUGCAGCAGUAACCUUUACAUUGCCAAUAAUUGCAGCAACUAGUUCAGAAUCUGUACAUGCUUUCAUCAAUUCCUUCUCCCUGCUAGUUGCUUCUGGCAUGUGGCUGAACAAGUUCAUGGCAGUUUUUGCAGCUUUUCCUUUCUUUGCGGUGCCAGGAACAAUCUUCACACUAUACUUGUAUGACUGCACUGCAUUGUUGGGGCCACAGACAGGCACAGCAUAUAAGAAAAUGUCGCUAGGCAAUGGAAGGUUUUCAUUGUUAAACAACCUGAAAGGUUUUCAUUGGCAUCUAGUGCUAGCAUUUAAGGAAGAAUAAACAAUCAAAUGUCUAGAUUUACCAUAAAAACACGAUCAAAUAUCAACAAUAUUCCGUAAACUUAAAUCACAGGGUAUGGAACACAGACUGGUAACAGGUAUCUUCCCAUUGCCAGCAAGGGCAUUUCCAUUUUGCGUCUCUCCAUCUUUCUUGCGUGUAUUUCCAGCAGACUGAACAUUCAAAUGCAUUGUCAAUUUCAGCAUGAACACAAAAAAUAAGUCAGCAUCACUAGUACUAAUAUGACUCCUAUGUAAAUGCUUGAUAUGUCAACUGGCAGGAGGGCCUAACAGGCCCAAUUUUUCAGAGAGUUGUGAAACUAAUAAAUAUGACAACCUUGAAGACUGAAGCUAAGAUUCCACUACCAUACUAAAAUCCCACUGAAAAAAUAAAGCAAAAAAGAUAAAAAAAGAGAAGAAAAAAAAACCACUAAUGUAUAUAUUUAUUUUUUCAAGGGAAAAAAUUAGCUCAAAUCUUUGUAUUUGCGAGUGAUAGGUUCUCUGAGAGAAGCUACAAAAAUUUUGGCAAUAAUAAGUUAAAACAGAAACAUAGAGACACCAUGUAAUGAUAGAAGAAUUAUCUGAAAUGGAGCAAAAUGAUAUAAGGUGGAAAUGAAAGUUCUUGUACUCACUGCCAGUAAAGCCAUCCGAAUGCUUCUCUCUUCCUCAUCUUGAUUCGCAUAUUUCUCCUUCAUCUUCUUAAGUUUGCCCUUCUGCCCACGCCUGAUUUUUCCACUUCCAGCCUCACUAUUUUGGACACUCUUUUCAGAUUGACUGAUAGGAACACCACUUUCUUUUGAUUCUUCAUUUUCCAACUCAAUGUUUGCAUCUCCAGCACCAUUUUUGCGAUCCUUCUUGAGCUUUCUUCUUUCAGCCUUUGAGAUAUGAGGUUUAUCUCUCCCUGUCGCCUUCCUUUCCUCACAACCAUGAUCCUCAGACAAAUCAACCUUAGAUGUUUCAACUCCAUAAUGUUUUUGAGAUACAGCAGCAGGUCCCAGUCCAAGAGCUCUAUCAAUGAGAUCCUCAAGUUGUGGUGUAACAGAUGCAACACUGUUUCCAACAAUAUUGGAUGAAUCUUCCUUCUUGUCCCCACUGUUGGUAGUGUCUUGUGGAAGAAAUUUAUGUGGAUGCAUAACUUCAGCAUUGGAGACAUUCAAGUUAACAGUAAUAUUUUUUGAUUCUAACACAUGUUCUUUGUCUGUUACUUCUUUCUCUGACUCAGAAUCAGAAACUUCUUGGAGAGGUCCACUUUCUUCAAAGUCAUUCAUCCCUUCCUCCUCACCACGUACUCUCCUUUCAUUUAAAUGUGAUCCUAAAGAGCUCUCAUCUAAGCGAAAUAACAACCCAAAGCCCAUUAUAAGAGGAUGUGGGGGAAGAAAGUUCUUCUUCCCACGUAUCAUGAAACUUCCAACAGUGAGAUACUCCCCCGUAGGAGCAGUUUUACUGACCUGAUGAGGGUACACCCACCAAGCACUAGUGACAAUCUUUGAAUCCCAUGCCUGGCUGUGGCAAACUGUAAAACAUCCAGCUUGGUUUAAAGUGAGAGGAGGCACAGGUUGUUCAGGCCUAUGAUUCUUGAUCACAGUACUAGAAGCUCCAUGCAGAUCUGCAUGGACAUACAGAUCUCCUUUUGACAUAUAACGCUUGACUAUUAUCUCAUUUUGUUGAGCAUCACGUCCACUAAUAACCAAAUAAUUCUCACUGCUGAUGAACCAAUCAAAUUUCUCAAACCAGUGAACUUUGCGCAUAUGUGAUAUAGUGGCAACAGAUUUCUCCUGUGAAAGCUGGAGACGAGUCUUUCUCUCAGCUGCUUUAAAAGCUUUUUCAUGAGCUGUAACAGUCUUUUCCUGUUUACUUUCUUGCUUUUUCUUCUGAUCAUACCAUCUCCGAGCAUUGGCAUGUGCAGAAAGUGCCAAAUCCACUUCCACCUUGUCAACCGGAAGCGUCUUUUCAUCAUCAUCCAUGUCAUCAAGAUUGUUGCUCAAAAGCAAUGUCAUGCAGUUUCUUUCAAGGUGGAGCUUGUCAAUAAGGCCAGCCACAGGGUUCCCCAACUUCUUCUCUUCCUUCACCAUACGAGUAAGAUCCUCCCAACUCAUUCCCUUUGCAAGAGCUAUACGAACAGCCAAUAUAGCAGCAUCUACAUCUUCUAAGUUGUAUUCUAUUAAUUCUGCCAUUCUAACACAGUGGUCUACUUCUUUCCUCAAUGUUAGCACUCGACUUUCCUGAUCCAGGCGUAUUUUAUUUAGUUUCUGAUUAGCAGAGUCCUCUUUUGCCUUUUGCUGUUGUUCUGACCUUUGACUCUCAAUUUUGCUGUAAAAUUCAUCCAAUGCUGCAUCAAAUGUAUCAAAUUUCAUAUGUUCCCUCGUCUUGAAUUGGUUCAGUAAUAUGGGGCAGAAUUCAUCAUAGAUCUGGCAAGCACUUCCAGAUUCAGAUGGGCUGCGGUCCUUUUCCAAAUUUUUAUUCUGCAUCAAAAUGUAUCCUCCAGGAACUUUGUCUCCUGAAAUAACAUCUUGGAGCCAAUCUUCAAAUUUUGCAACAGCAUGAACCAAAACCUGCAUUGCAUUAUCAUCUAACCUAUUAUUUUUAGAAAUUUUCAUAUUCGGGAUCUGACCAGCAUCCAAUAUCAUGUGCUCGGAAAGUGCAGGACCAUAGCCCAAUGCCUCCCCAAUAAGAUUCUUUAGUGUGACUUGUUUGGCACGACUUCCAUGACUAGCAUUUUUACUCAAGUCAGAAGAUUUACCACCCUUAUGCGUACCCUGCUUUUCUUUUUGAGCCUUAUCAGACAUAUUAUUUUCAUCGUCAUUAACAGGUUCAAUGUUUUCAGGCUCCUUAAAGGAUGUAAGAGUUUCUUGCAGUUUAGCAGUAGUUGUUCGCUCAAAAACUCGGCAAAUUUCAGUAGGAUAUCGAUGCCUUGACAUGAUUGCAAACCCUUUAUCAUCAUCCCUGUGAGACCGAAGAAGAGUGAGAACUGUAAACUCAGAAUCAGUGAGCAGAAUAUUUCCUUGCGCAUACAACUCCAAUAUAACAUAGUGUGCAUUAGUUCCAAGUCCAAAUUGGAACAGAACAAUCCUAUCAUAUCCAAGCUGCCUCACGUCCUCACGCCUCCUUGUACGUAUAUGCUUUCUUAAUUUUAGCGUAAACCCAGAAGGUGUAUUACUUUCGUCCCGAACGUAAGCAGUAGUAUGCAAGCGGACACCGCUUUCCAUCAAGAGCAAAACUUUCUCACUCUCUCCUGAUUCAGUUACGCCACUGCUAUUCAUUAGCUUGAAUACAUAAGUCUUUGGAGAAAGAUCAUAGACAUUAGAGCAGCGCAUGCCGAUUAAGCUCCGCAAGCACUUGACCUCUGCUGCCACAUCGGCCAUGUUCAUCCGCACCUUCACCAUAUCUUCUCCCCAUUCAGCUCUCUCUCUCUCUCUCUCUCUC